rnacentral:rRNA from 1 species
UACGUAGGGUGCAAGCGUUAAUCGGAAUUACUGGGCGUAAAGCGUGCGCAGGCGGUUUGGUAAGACAGAUGUGAAAUCCCCGGGCUUAACCUGGGAACUGCAUUUGUGACUGCCCGGCUAGAGUGUGUCAGAGGGGGGGUAGAAUUCCACGGUGUAGCAGUGAAAUGCGUAGAUAUGUGGAGGAAUACCGGUGGCGAAGGCGGCAUCCUGGACCAUAACUGACGCUGAGGCGCGAAAGCUAGGGGAGCAAACGGG